ensembl:lncRNA
UUUCCAUUUAAUUUUAUUAUUAAGUUUCAGUGGUGAUGUGCAAGUUUCUCCAACUCAGAGUUUGGAAAGGCUGCAGAAGCACACGGACUACGAGCCUACGCAGACUUUGAGUGCAGUAUUUCCAUAAGGCACUCAGAAACUGGAGAGAAGAUCCAUGCACUCUGUGCCCCAGCCAACAAGCAGAGGACUGUCUGCAAGCCUCAUCCAGUCCUGUCACUUCACAUCCCAAGCAGCAGUGCCACGUCCUGAGGAAGUGAUUGACUCUGACAGAUCCUAUGAUGAACUCUCCAGGGCUCCAAUUAUGUUUUCCAACAUUUAGCAUCAUCUCUUUUUCCCUUCACUCCCCCUCCUUGGGGAGAACUUCAGUCUGAGCAGAAGCUCUGUGUGUGUGCAGAUGGGCCAAGAAGGGAUGGGUGUUCUAAUUUCUGCCACUUGUGCUGCAGCACUGGGGAUGGGACGGGAUGGGAUGGGAUGGGAUGGGACGGGACGGGACGGGACAGAAGGGGUCCUGAGAGCACCAAUGGGCCCUAAUGACCCCAAGCAGCCUCACCUGAGACCUCCACCCACAGCCUCUGCCCCAUUUAAGAGCAAUGCUGGUAAAGCAGAUGGUGCUCAUCUUUUAGCCCUAACUGAAGCUUUGCCUUGGUGUUUUCCCCUGUGUUCCUUGAUAGACCAAAGUGUGCUCUGGGUUUCUUGUUCCUCCUUUUGUUCUUGGGGCUUUUUAGCUGUCUGGGGACAAAAGAAUAAGAAAAGCCCUGUGUUGAAGACAGGAGCUUACAGUGGUACAGGUGCACUGGGAAAGUCCGUGGUACCAACCAGUGCUGGGAUGUAUGCAGGCAUUUGUCUCCUCAUCUUGCCAUUCUAGAUGAAGUGAACCUGCUGGACAAAAUGACUUCUCAAUUAAAGGACCUCAGCAAUGUUUCCUUCAGCUACGAUGAGGCCAACUGCAGCACUCUGCAGAUCGGGCAGUACUCCACCCUCAGCAUUCCUACACAGGAGGUGUUUGGGGACAGGUUUGCAGAUGAGCUGAGUGUGCUGAUGAAGCUCAGGUACUCACUGCAGGAGGACACCAGCCUGUUGACCAUCCUGAGCCAUCGGAGCCAUGUGCUCUUCCAGAUCCGGGUUAGCCCAUAUGGUUUGGUCUUUGUCACCACGAGGAGGAGGCACUAUGAGUUCCCUGUGUCCCUGCUCAGUGAUGGGCGCUGGCACCGAGUUGCACUCAGCAUCUCCCAGGAGAGCCUGGAGCUGCACGUGGACUGUCGGCUGGUGGAGAGAGCCAGCUGGCCUGGCUACCUGGGGAUGGGUGUGGGCACCGAGGGGCUGCUCAUCAUCGGAGGUCUGGUGGAGUCCUUUGAGAUCCCCUUUGAGGGAGCUCUGCAGCAGCUGACCUUUGUGAUGGGGGAUGCAGCAGCAGCUGGCGAGCAUUGCCACAGCCACACCGUGACAUGUGUGCACUCCUCUGGCCUCAGUCCUCCUCCGAGGGACCACUCUGCAGCAUGGGCAGAGGUGCCAAAAGAAACCAGUGCGAUCCAAGACUCCUCAGCUCAGGUACAGCUCUGCACUGCAGGAGAGAUGUGCAGGGAAUGUUCCUUUGCAUACCCUCCUGGUGUCUCACCCUAUUUAUUUGUUUCAUUUGGGAUUUCUAGCCGUGGUUCGUUGUCCAAUUUCAUGCAAACAGACAUCCUGAGAGGGAAGCCUGCCAGCAAAUGCAAACUGGGAUUUUUUAUUUUUAUUUUUUUUGUAUGACCGAGCAAUGAAGAGUGCUCUCUAUUUCCUUCCCAGGCACUGCCACUGAGCACUUAAGGAUGGUUUGUGUUCCCGUCCUGAUGGAUGGGAUGCUGCCAUCUCCACCGGGUUGAACUGGUGGAACUCGUGGGUUGCAGGGGAAGGCCAAUGAUGGUUUGGGAUGAGUUUGGUUUUGGAGCACUUAAUCAGAACCAGAGACGCCUCAGGAUCUUUGAUGUUUGGAUUCAUUAAAAGAAAAAAUGCACUACUAACAGUGUGAAAUAAUGAAGAGCAGAGCAGGGAUGUCCAGUGCUGUGCUUUGGAGUUAUGUUUUCUAUGCCUUUGUUCACUCAGAAGUAAGUAAAUACAUCAAUAAAUUCCCAGAUCCCUAAUUAGAGCUGAUUAAUUAAGGAGAGCUAUAGUGACAACGGAAGAUGUGGGUGGGUGAAGGCAGUAGAUGUGUUGUUUGUUAAUGUUUCCUAGUUGGACUCAGCUCUGCUGUCAGAGCUUUGUGAGAGCUUGAUGGUUGUUGCCCAUAUCAAGACAGGUUUCAGAGGAUAAAGCACAUCACAGUGUGAUGCUUGUGAUGACUGGGGAUAGCUCAUACGUAGAGAGGAGGGGACAAAAGCUUGCACUGCAAGUGAGGCUCACUUAGGAGAAAGUCUGCUCUUGGUUUUCAGCCUUCCUGAGACUGAGUGUCUCCCAGAAGGUUCUUCCAGGGGAUCGAUGGUUGAAUGCGUUGGGAAGAAAAUAGGUUGGUAUUGUCUUUUUUUGGUCAUGAGCUGGUAAAUUGUAUCUUAGUCUGCUGGAUGGAGAAUGCUUCUAUUCACACCAUGUUUUCUGGUAAGGUGUGAAGCUCUGAAUUACGCUCUGCCUGGUCUGACCUUGCAGAAAAUGAGGGCAGUGUGGUACACUGGUGUCUGCACUCCUGAAGACAGACAUGCCCCACGCUGGGCUUUGACCUGCUUGCUGCUCACUGAGUGAAUCUCCCUUCUGGAUGGUGGAAUCCAUCCGUACCAAGCAAACAGCCCAACAGAAGUCAGGGAUCAUCACACUGGCACUUUUAUCUGUAUCAGCAAAAUGCUAUUAAUCUUCUUGGACAAGAUACCCACUGAGUUACAUGAGGUCCCCUUUAAAAACUAUGGCAUUCGUUGCAUUAUCUGUGAUGUUGUUAUUACCACGCUCCAUAUCAGUUGCUCUGCUACUUAGAGUGAGCUCUGCUUCGAGGACAAGCUCUGUAAUUGCUCUAGGGCUCCUGUUUGCCUUUUUUUCUUUUUUUUUUGGCACAUGAACACAACACAAAACCUUUUCCCAGUACCCCUUGGCCUUCCUCAGUUUUCUGAGCCAAACCAACCCUCAGUGCUCACGUUGGGCUAUUUCAGUGGCUGCCACUGCCCUGUGCUGAGGCUGCUCCUCUACAAGUCAGGAUGCACUUUGCUUAUCACACGUCUAUUCCCCUUACCUCUCUUUUACAAAUACCCCUUGUGUCUGCUCUCAGUUCCUGCCGUCCCUAUUCCCAGAUGUCCUUCCACACCCCAAUACCUUCUGCUCCAUUCUUGUGGGCAGCUUUGAGCCGCUCAAAGCAUUUCCCAGCUUGUGCAUCUCAGUUCUUCUCACAAUGACUUCUCUCUCUAAAUUUGGCUGUUACAAAGGAGCAGGCAGGGAUGCUAUUGGUCUUGGCAUUUUAUUCUGUUUACAAAGAGCCCACAUAACUCAACUGUGAUUGCUGGAACAUGUGGGACCUGUAACUUUCAGCUCAGAAAGUCAGACAUUUCCCCUGAGCUCACCAGAUGGGAACCUCUAACCCAGGCCUUUCCCAUGCCAGACAUUAAAGACGAACAAAAUCACAGACAAGCAUUUUCUAGGGACUCCAGCAUUGCACUGCAGAGUCCCCCUGGCUCUGGUUCCUGUACACAGUGUAAUUGCAGCAGAUCCCAGCCCUGCCAUCCCCUGCUGCACACCCUGGUGCUUCAGCUCCUGGUUAAUGUAUGCACCUGGUAUCUAAAGCCUUUAAACCUGCUGCUUUAGGCAGAGCUCAGGCUUCCAGCACUGGCUCCCCACCGUGCUCUUCCUCCCUUGAUGCCAUCCAGCAUCGCCUAGACACCUUUCCUCUGCUGCCAAAAAUGAUGUUGGAUUUUAUUUUAGUGGUUUGCCAUUCAGUCCUCCUCCAGCCCUUGCAAACCAGUAGUUUUCCUUUGAAGCACCUGCCUUUAAACUCAAAGCUUUGUGCAGGUUUUGCAAGGCAGGAUCUCUUCAAGUCCGACCUUCCUCUGUCCUCUGCCUGCUGGGGGGUUUCUGGUUAAUGAUGUCCAUGUGCUCCAUGGGCUGAAUCAUCCCCUCCUCGUGAUGCAGCACAAAGCAUCGUAGCUCACCGAUUUCCCCCUCUGUAAGACAUACAGAAUGAAGUGUAAGUUCUGGCUGUAGCUGGCACCUUUUGUGUUUCAUUUAUUGCAAAAAUGUGUCUUAAGGAAAUGAACGCUUUUGGUUUGGAUCAACAAUUAUACAUAUAGAUAGAUAUAGAUAUAUGUUUUGUAAGAAUGGGGAAUAGGGGUCUUGUUGGAGAGAUGAAGUGCUUUAGUUCUCACCAUUAAAGCUGUAUUUCAAAACAGUUUUUAAUCAGAAAGCAGCCCCCAAAGCAACGUUGAAACUGCCAUGGUGGUGGUGGGAUGGUGGUUGGACUUGGUGACCAUUAGAGGUCUUUCCCAACCUCAGUGAUUCUGUGGUUAUUUAGGCAUCAGGUGGCUUUGCAUUUUUGAUAUUUUAACAGCAGAAGCCAACAGGACACCCAUGUUACAAACUGUGUGCCCAGCAGUGCUCUUUGCCCAGUAUGUGACUGGAAACAGCAGUGAGCAAAGGCAGCACGAGC